rnacentral:rRNA from 1 species
CAGUCGCCACGGUAAUACGAAGGGUGCAGGCGUUAAUCGGAAUUACUGGGCGUAAAGCGUGCGUAGGCGGUUUGUUAAGUCUGUUGUGAAAUCCCCGGGCUCAACCUGGGAAUGGCAAUGGAUACUGGCAAGCUAGAGUGUGUCAGAGGAUGGUGGAAUUCCCGGUGUAGCGGUGAAAUGCGUAGAGAUCGGGAGGAACAUCAGUGGCGAAGGCGGCCAUCUGGGACAACACUGACGCUGAGGCACGAAAGCGUGGGGAGCAAACAGGAUUAGAUACCCCCGUAGUCCCUGUCUCUUUUAC